GGGAUCAAGGCCCGCCUAUUCAG
rnacentral:tRNA from 1 species